AUUCCCAACACUUAGAAUCUGUCGGCUAUCAUGUAAACCAAUGAUUGUUUCAUUAAGACCGAGGGGCAAACAUGUUUCACGCUCAGCAGAGGACAAACCCUAAAAACAUUUCCUGUUGGAGUCGCUCCAUCUGAUCUGUCUGUUAUUUUCAACAACUUCCGUUGCCAGAGACAUUUGAAGCCAUUUUUAAGGAGAGCACAGCUGAAACUUUUUAAUCAAAUCUAAUCUUCCCUCACUUCUAUCCUGAAACCCAGAGAACUGGGAGGUAUUUUCCAGUCAUGUUUGACUCCUUUUCCCCAUCAAACUGAAGGGAGUGUCUGGUAAAAUAAUCCCAGUGGAGAAACGUAAACCUUCUCCGAGUUCAUUAUGAAAUCUACAAGGAGAGACAGAGAAGCUUCGCUCUGGACUAAAACAUGCCAGGGAAACGUGUGAUGAAAACCAUCAACAAUGCUUGUUCCCUGUUUGCAAUAGCUGACAAGCUAACCGUCCAGAAACGGAACCACCAGAACUCCAACACAGUGAAUCUACAAACUUCUUAACUGAGAAAAUGUAGGAAUGUUUUCUGUCACAUCAACACCAAAUCUGAUGUCGAUGCUCUAAUGUUUAAGGAAAGAGACAAUUCUGUCAGCCAUGGAAACCCAAAGGCAUUAUACAUCGACUGACAGGUUUCCGUGGUUACCACAGGACUGAGGCUGGCCUAGUCAAAGUGUUCAAUGACAUGAAUACAGACUGUGGAAGAACCACAGUACAGGUUCUGGUUCUGUUGGACCUCAGUGUUGACCAUGACACAUCACUGAACGGCUGGAGAGCUGGUAGGGUGCUUUGGUUCCGGUUCUGGACUUGUUCCGGUUCUGGACUUGUUCCAGGUCUGGACUUGUUCCGGUUCUGGACUUGUUCCAGGUCUGGACUAGUUCUGGGUCUGGACUGGUUCCGGUUCUGGAUCGGUUCUGGGGUUGGACUGGUUCCGGGUCUGGACCGGUUCCGGUUCUGGAUCGGUUCCGGGGUUGGACUGGUUCCAGUCCGACAGAAAGAAUUGGGAUUUCUUUGUUUCAACAGGAAACUUCUCACUGAAGAGGUCAGAGGUCACAGUGGGCUUCCCCAAGGCUCAGUCCUACAACCUCUCUUAUAUCUAUAAGCUCAGGUGAAAACAGGAAAUCAGACCAGUUACCAUGACAACGCAGACGCUACACAGCUCUACAUUACUAUGUCGCCAGGCGACCUUUGACCCGAUCCAAUCCCAGAUGCCUAGAGCAGAGAGAUGUGUGUACGUAUCUCUGUCCAUCCAGUUGUCAUGGAAAUUGUGAGCGAACUUUUAAAGUGUCGCAGAGACCAGAAAAUGCGAUUUAGGCGUCUUUCAGUGUCCUGGUUUGGAGCGAAUCGAAUUGUUUACGUUAUUGUAACGAACAGGAAGCUGAGGCAGCAAACCAAGAUGGACAACACGACUCAGAAACACUUCGUGGCUCUGGUAAGGCACAGACCCACCAGUGGAAUGGCAGCGUUCGCUGCAGCAGAACUUAUUCUGAAAACUUGUUUCCAUCUUCCCUUUAGAGCAUGAAGUCCUUUAGAAAAGUCAGUGACAAUAACAAUGAAACUGAGGAGCUCAGUUUGAAUGUUGCCUUUUCUUUCAACCUUUUCUAAUGUGAAACUUCAAACUGUGCAUAAAAACCGUUGAACAGACAAAGCAGAGAGACAACCGUUGGUGUCUCUCUGCUUUGUGUCCUUCAUGGUGAAACCAACGUUAGAGAGACAUUUACGGAGGAGUUUAGAUUAAAUGUAUGAGGUCGUUAAUCUGUUUUUUUGUUUUCUGUGCUCUUACAUCUGUGAAUUGAUCUGAGCAUGCAUCAAUAAAAGGAACCUGUGGCGUCUCUAGUGUUGUUCUGCUGCCGGUUCACACCAAGCACAGUUAUGUUUCUCUGCCAUAAACUGGUUAUUGAUUCUUUAAAAUGGCUUUUGUGUGCCGCCCAAGCAGGCAAACUCCACAUAUUUCUAUCUUGGUUUAUCUAGACAGACAGAAAAACAAGAAGUGAGGUCAGGAGAACAUUAAUUGUUUUACUAAAUCAGCUUCAAUCAGCUGGAAGGAGAAUUUAAAUCCAUCCUUCUGGACUAAAUCACAGAAUCUUAACCGUCUCCUGCUGGACAUGCAGACUGGGUCACUUUUUUCUAAGAUUUGUAACAAGCAGAGUUUGUAACAUCUGAUCCACCAAACCUGCUUCCUCUCCACCAGGGGGCGACAUGCUCCAGCAGGCGGCGCUCUCCUUGUGCUCUGUGCUCCAGCAUCGUGUCAAUAAGAAGUGGUGCUGUGAAGAGAACAACAGUCAGACUGAAUGUUGAACAUCAGCUGCUUUCUCCUGCUGGUUUAAACCUUGUUGGACAGAUGGAACAUUGGCUGUGGAUUAUUCUGGCUGCUCUUUUCUCUGAGUGUAAAGGAGACUCAGUGACGCAGACAGAAAGAGAAGUUGUUGCUGCUGCAGGAGAAACUCGGAUUCUGGGAUGUAAUUAUGAGAGCAUCUCUGUGACGCCUACAUUGUUCUGGUACAAGCUGGAGGAAAACAGUUUUCCACAGUACAUGCUGAAGCAACAAACAUCGACAACAUAUAAAGCUCCAGAGUUCAACAGCAGCAGAUUUGAUGCUGACCUCAAUAAAACCAAGAAAUCCUUCAACCUGACGAUCCAGGAUCUCCGUCCGUCAGACUCUGCUGUGUACUACUGCGCUCUGCAGCCCACAGUGACAGGAAACACCAGAACCCUGUACAAAAACCUGCAGUACUCCACAGCGGCCACUAGAGGGCCUCACUCCUUGUUAAUCCACUAAAACCUGCAGUACUCCACAGCGGCCACUAGAGGGCCUCGUACAUCAGGUUACAUUAAGAUGAGCUGCAGCUGCUGGAGCCAAACUAACCUGAAGCAGCAGCAUCUCCACCUGGUUCCUGUCCAACAGUUCAAACUGGGAGAAGUCAGUGGAAACCAGUGGAACCAGUUAGGAAAACCCCUGGUGUGUCGGAGAUAAACUUCCAUGUAUUUAGUUGUUUCAGCUCCACUGAUAAUUGAUACAAUGAUCCAACAGUCUGUGAAUGUUUCUUCAUAACAAACAUCUGUGAAGGUUUUUGCUUAAAAUAAUUGAAGGAGUUUUAUUCUGAAGAGCUCCAAACAGUCUGAUCCUGUUCCUGUAAAUCAGCUGCUGUUACCGACUGAAGACACUUAUCAGCCUCGAACCUCGCAGCUCAGAACUGCUACUGCCAUGUUGUAACCAAUGAAACUCCACCACUGCAACCCUGUUGCCAUCAUCUAGCAGACUGAUCAAAUACGGAGGCCAUAAACGGCCAAACGGGGUAAAAAUUGUAACUUCGAUCCAAUAUGGCCGACUUCCUGCCUGUUUCUUAUAAUUUCUGCAAGAGUUUUCUGUACGUCCGAAAGUUGUCCAAGUGAACCAAACUUCAUAGGUGUCCAAUAAAAGGUCAAUAUCUGAAUGUUGCCAGGGGGCGCUGUUCAGCUGUUCCUGUUGUCACUUUUGUAAAAAUAUGUAAUUUUCACAUGACUGAUGCAUCUGCACAAUUCAGGGAGUUUUCAUAUGUUUAGGCCUCCAAACAGAAAACUGAAAAACAAAACGAUAAUAAAGGCUGCAGUCACAUUAGACCUCCUUUAAAAGAAGAAAAUACUUUUUCUGGUGAGUAUAUUAAAAGCUUUUAACACAACACAGAUCUACUGAUUGACCCAAAGCUGCAAAUGUUCCUGUUUUCUGCUUGGCUUCGCUGACCUUGGUGACCUCUGCAUCUGGUCAGGUCUAUGAACUGGGAUCGUCUCCCAGAGCAGCUGCAGCUGAUGAACGUCAGACUCUCUGGUUGAUUUGGGAACUUUUUAAUGUCACCUUGUCAACUAA